GACGAACGCUGGCGGCGUGCCUAAUACAUGCAAGUAGAACGCUGAAGAGAGGAGCUUGCUCUUCUUGGACGAGUUGCGAACGGGUGAGUAACGCGUAGGUAACCUGCCUUGUAGCGGGGGAUAACUAUUGGAAACGAUAGCUAAUACCGCAUAACAAUAGGUGACACAUGUCAUUUAUUUGAAAGGGGCAAUUGCUCCACUACAAGAUGGACCUGCGUUGUAUUAGCUAGUAGGUGAGGUAACGGCUCACCUAGGCGACGAUACAUAGCCGACCUGAGAGGGUGAUCGGCCACACUGGGACUGAGACACGGCCCAGACUCCUACGGGAGGCAGCAGUAGGGAAUCUUCGGCAAUGGGGGCAACCCUGACCGAGCAACGCCGCGUGAGUGAAGAAGGUUUUCGGAUCGUAAAGCUCUGUUGUAAGUCAAGAACGAGUGUGAGAGUGGAAAGUUCACACUGUGACGGUAGCUUACCAGAAAGGGACGGCUAACUACGUGCCAGCAGCCGCGGUAAUACGUAGGUCCCGAGCGUUGUCCGGAUUUAUUGGGCGUAAAGCGAGCGCAGGCGGUUUGAUAAGUCUGAAGUUAAAGGCUGUGGCUCAACCAUAGUUCGCUUUGGAAACUGUCAAACUUGAGUGCAGAAGGGGAGAGUGGAAUUCCAUGUGUAGCGGUGAAAUGCGUAGAUAUAUGGAGGAACACCGGUGGCGAAAGCGGCUCUCUGGUCUGUAACUGACGCUGAGGCUCGAAAGCGUGGGGAGCGAACAGGAUUAGAUACCCUGGUAGUCCACGCCGUAAACGAUGAGUGCUAGGUGUUGGAUCCUUUCCGGGAUUCAGUGCCGCAGCUAACGCAUUAAGCACUCCGCCUGGGGAGUACGACCGCAAGGUUGAAACUCAAAGGAAUUGACGGGGGCCCGCACAAGCGGUGGAGCAUGUGGUUUAAUUCGAAGCAACGCGAAGAACCUUACCAGGUCUUGACAUCCCGAUGCUAUUUCUAGAGAUAGAAAGUUACUUCGGUACAUCGGUGACAGGUGGUGCAUGGUUGUCGUCAGCUCGUGUCGUGAGAUGUUGGGUUAAGUCCCGCAACGAGCGCAACCCCUAUUGUUAGUUGCCAUCAUUCAGUUGGGCACUCUAGCGAGACUGCCGGUAAUAAACCGGAGGAAGGUGGGGAUGACGUCAAAUCAUCAUGCCCCUUAUGACCUGGGCUACACACGUGCUACAAUGGUUGGUACAACGAGUUGCGAGUCGGUGACGGCAAGCUAAUCUCUUAAAGCCAAUCUCAGUUCGGAUUGUAGGCUGCAACUCGCCUAUAUGAAGUCGGAAUCGCUAGUAAUCGCGGAUCAGCACGCCGCGGUGAAUACGUUCCCGGGCCUUGUACACACCGCCCGUCACACCACGAGAGUUUGUAACACCCGAAGUCGGUGAGGUAACCUUUUGGAGCCAGCCGCCUAAGGUGGGAUAGAUGAUUGGGGUG
rnacentral:rRNA from 1 species